CCUCCGUGGAGGGGCGGGGAUGGAAGAGCCGGGGGCGCGGCAGAGGGAAGAGGAUCCGUUGGAGCCGCUCCUAGGCCCGCAGAUAACGGUGGCUGCAGGUGACUGCACAUGUCAUGAGGAAGAAGAGCUUGCGAAGGGAGGGAAAAUUGUGAAUUGGAGGCAUGGAAAAGGCCGUUUGGCAAGGAACGUUUCUGAUGGCGAGUCUCACCAGAGUAGAUUUUCUGGUUGCCCUUGCUAUGAAAGUGACACUACUCAUUCAGAUUCCUCGGGGACUCCUAUUAAAUAUGUUGGUGACUUUGAUGACUUCCAGAGUGACCUUGAGAACUGGGAGUUGGAUGAUGAAGCCUGUGCUGUAUCUUUCCCUGAGCUGAAAAUUGAUUCUCAGUAUGAGGAAGAGGACUGGGAUAAAGAAUUGGAGGAUGCUGCAUGUAAUCCUUAUGACGCGGAAGAUAUCAACUGUGGUAGUCUUCAGGAAAAUUGUCUACUGGCAUCAUGUGCAUGGCAAGAAGAAUCAUUGUAUAACCCCAGGUGUCACCAUGCAGCUCUACUCUCUCUGAGUUCGCCAAAUAGAAUGCCUGAGGUUGGCCAGUUUGAUGAUGCAGAUGACUGAGGUUUGCCCCUGUUCAGGGCCAUGCUUGGCAAAUUGGACUUUGCUCCAUUGCAGGGAUGCAAUGCAUUGUGGGGUGCCUUCACCUAGCCUAUUGGGUUCCAAACAGGACUUUUCUGAAAACUUUCUUUGAGAAUAUUAAUGAGCUGCAAAUACACUGAUCGUGAUUGAUUGGAAGGAAGCAGAGAGGAUCUCAGACUGGACACUAACCCUAGCUUUAUAUCUCCCAUGAGAAGAAGGUUGGUGGUUCUGGAUGUGAAACAGCCAUGUGGACAGCCUAGAGGCCUUGUAAUGCUGCUCUGGUAUAUGUGAGAACACCGGCUCAGUGGAAUACAAUAGGGACCAUCACCUGAAGAAGAACCAAGCGUGAUUCCUGCUCUGGUUUCCUGCUUCUUAAACCAGAAGAGACUGCAAGGACUUUGUGUUGCUCUGCAGCACCCCUUCUGGCUGAAUGGGGAGCUGCGUGGAUGAUCUCUGAAGGGAGGCCCCAUCCAGUUUUCUCUGUCUGGAAGGCUGAUGGAGGCAACACAACUCUGUGGGGCUGUUGAAGUGGGAAACUAUGCGAGGGCUUCUCAGAGGAUCUCCUUAGAGUUAUGCUACAAGUGCAGUGUAUUUAUGUGCUAGUUUAUCUCCUAUCUGAUUCAUCCAAGUCUCGUAAUUAAUCAAAGAGAUCUUGCUUUACAGCUUGAAAUUGGACUAUUCAACAGUAACUUUUUGUGCUGCACCUGUUUGCAGGGUGUUACCUUAGACACUAUGUUGAUGAGAGACAGUUUUAUUUUUAGCCCAUUUUCCCAUGCUCAGCCUAUGGAGUGUGCUCCCCUGUUCCAUUUCACUGUCCAGCACUAUUUUAAAGAUGUCUCUACCAUCUGUUUUUCCCCGCAUGUCUUAUCAAGUAUCCUCAGUGUUCUAAUAUUAACAGGGAGGCCUCUUCAUUCUUGGUUAUUCCAUAUUUCUACUAUUGGGCUCUUGGCACCUGUUCCUGGCUGCUGCAAUCUAGGAACAGCUACUUGAUGCUCAGUUGGCCAGAUCUUUCUCUAAAUAUAAAGCAUGGAUGCACUAGUGAGAUUCAAAUUUAGCUCUCAUUUUUUCCUGCCUGUAUUGGAUCUCUUACAUUUGGGACAGGAACACAGGAUCCAGAUACCUCACCACAGA